GGGCCCAUACUCCAAUCGGUAGAGAGACGGGUCUUAAACACCCUACAGUCCGGGUUCGAGUCCCGGUGGGCCUA
rfam:Paracoccus sediminis strain DSM 26170 genome assembly, contig: Ga0170460_101